GACGAACGCUGGCGGCGUGCUUAACACAUGCAAGUCGAACGGAAAGGCCCUGCUUUUGUGGGGUGCUCGAGUGGCGAACGGGUGAGUAACACGUGAGUAACCUGCCCUUGACUUUGGGAUAACUUCAGGAAACUGGGGCUAAUACCGGAUAGGAGCUCCUGCUGCAUGGUGGGGGUUGGAAAGUUUCGGCGGUUGGGGAUGGACUCGCGGCUUAUCAGCUUGUUGGUGGGGUAGUGGCUUACCAAGGCUUUGACGGGUAGCCGGCCUGAGAGGGUGACCGGCCACAUUGGGACUGAGAGACGCCCCAGACUCCUACGGGAGGCAGCGGGGGGGAAUAUUGCACAAUGGGCGGAAGCCUGAUGCAGCAGCGCCGCGUGCGGGAUGACGGCCUUCGGGUUGUAAACCGCUUUCGCCUGUGACGAAGCGUGAGUGACGGUAAUGGGUAAAGAAGCACCGGCUAACUACCUG
rnacentral:rRNA from 1 species